GUCGGCCGAAAGGAUUACUUAGUCGUGAUAGACGCGUAUAGCAAAUGGCUCGAGUGUAUGGAAAUGACGGCCGGUACUUCCAGUAGGUUCCCAAACUAGAGGGGGAAGAGUUGUGAUGUAUGCGCCGACACAGUUUGCAUGUGUGAGUGUCGGCCAGCGCGACCGCAGGUUUUGAAUAAACAGUUAUGCACGAA
rnacentral:misc_RNA from 1 species